UUUGUAACCUGGAGGAUAAUGACAGACAAUUUAUUGGUCUACCAUGAGAUAACUGAUCAUUUUUCAUCACACGUAACCAGAGCUGCACAAGGUCUGGUGAUUCACAUUUAUCUGACAAUACUUUAGACUGUCUAACAUCAACAAGUUUAAAGCUAUUUUGGGGUGUCCUUUUACUCGUAUCUAAGAAACUAAAAGGAUUUCAAUGGAUGUUUCCCCUGUAAAUGAAGGAAUAGAGAUUCAUGUACAUACCAAAAUCCUUUAAACAUGGUUAAGUAUUGCACUGUCUUCUUAUUGCAAUGUCUUAUUAUUUUGAGAUGAAUAAGGAUUAUACAUUAGGAUGCACUUGACUUUCUGUUAUGCUACUUGUAAUCUUAAAAAAACUGAAUUUCUGCCUGUACCAUUUUGGAGAGCGGUAGUUUCCUAGCUUGACUAUUAAACAACACUGUUUUGAGGUUCCUACUUAGUGAGUGACAAUGGUAACUUUGCUGGUUAACAUGAGCACUUUCAUU